rnacentral:rRNA from 1 species
AGAGUUUGAUUAUGGCUCAGGAUGAACGCUAGCGGCAGGCCUAAUACAUGCAAGUCGGACGGUAAAUGCCCCUCGGGGGCAUGAGAGUGGCGGACGGGUGCGUAACGCGUAUGCAACCCACCCCCGACGGGCGGAUAGCCGGUGGAAACGCCGGAUAAGCCGCCAUGCGACCCUGGAGGGGCAUCCCUACGGGGCCAAAGCGGAGACGCGGUGGGGACGGGCAUGCGUCCCAUUAGAUAGUAGGCGGGGCGACGGCCCACCUAGUCGACGAUGGGUAGGGGAUCUGAGAGGACGGUCCCCCACACUGGUACUGAGACACGGACCAGACUCCUGCGGGAGGCAGCAGUAAGGGAUAUUGGGCAAUGGGGGAAACCCUGACCCAGCCAAUGCCGCGUGAGGGAAGUAGGCCCUACGGGUCGUGAACCUCUUUUACACGGGGACAAGGACGGCGUCGUGAACGCCGUUUGAGGGUACCGUGGGAAUAAGCGUCGGCUAACUCCGUGCCAGCCGCAGC